CACAUGCAAGUCGAACGAGAAAGCGGGGGCAACUCCGCGAGUAAAGUGGCGACCGGGUGAGUAACACGUGACUAACCUGCCCUCGAGCGGGGGAUAACCCCGGGAAACCGGGGCUAAUACCGCAUAACAUCUUCGAUACGAAAGUGUUGAGGAUCAAAGGAGCAAUUCACUUGAGGAGGGGGUCGCGGCCGAUUAGCUAGUUGGCGGGGUAACGGCCCACCAAGGCUGAGAUCGGUAGCCGGCCUGAGAGGGCGCACGGCCACACUGGAACUGAAACACGGUCCAGACACCUACGGGAGGCAGCAGUGGGGAAUUUUGCGCAAUGGGGGGAACCCUGACGCAGCAACGCCGCGUGGAGGAUGAAGUCCCUUGGGACGUAAACUCCUUUCGACCGGGAAGAUGAUGACGGUACCGGAAGAAGAAGCACCGGCUAACUCUGUGCCAGCAGCCGCGGUAAUACAGAGGGUGCGAGCGU
rnacentral:rRNA from 1 species